rnacentral:rRNA from 1 species
GGCGCACGGGUGAGUAACACGUAUCCAACCUGCCGUCUACUCUUGGACAGCCUUCUGAAAGGAAGAUUAAUACAAGAUGGCAUCAUGAGUCCACAUGUUCACAUGAUUAAAGGUAUUCCGGUAGACGAUGGGGAUGCGUUCCAUUAGAUAGUAGGCGGGGUAACGGCCCACCUAGUCUUCGAUGGAUAGGGGUUCUGAGAGGAAGGUCCCCCACAUUGGAACUGAGACACGGCCCAUACUCCUACGGGAGGCAGCAGUAGGGAAUUUUGCGCAAUGGGGGCAACCCUGACGCAGCAACGCCGCGUGAUUGAUUAAGCCCUUCGGGGUGUAAAGAUCUGUCAGUGGGGACGAAAUAUGACGGUACCCACAGAGGAAGCACCGGCUAACUCCGUGCCAGCAGCCGCGGUAAUACGGAGGGUGCAAGCGUUGUCCGGAAUCAUUGGGCGUAAAGAGUUCGUAGGUGGCAUGUAAAGUCUGGUGUUAAAGGCAGAAGCUCAACUUCUGUAGGGCACUGGAUACUUGCAAGCCGGAAUGCGGUAGAGGUAAAGGGAAUUCCUGGUGUAGCGGUGAAAUGCGUAGAUAUCAGGAGGAACAUCGGUGGCGUAAGCGCUUUACUGGGCCGUAAUUGACACUGAGGAACGAAAGCCGGGGUAGCAAAUGGGAUUAGAUACCCCAGUAGUCCCGGCCGUAAACGAUGGAUACUAGGUGUUGCGGGUAUCGACCCCUGCAGUGCCGCAGCUAACGCGUUAAGUAUCCCGCCUGGGGAGUACGCACGCAAGUGUGAAACUCAAAGGAAUUGACGGGGACCCGCACAAGCGGUGGAACAUGUGGUUUAAUUCGAAGCAACGCGAAGAACCUUACCAAGUCUUGACAUCCCGGUGACAAAGUAUGUAAUGUACUCUUUCUUCGGAACACCGGUGACAGGUGGUGCAUGGUUGUCGUCAGCUCGUGUCGUGAGAUGUUGGGUUAAGUCCCGCAACGAGCGCAACCCCUGUUCUUAGUAGCCAGCAGUUCGGCUGGGCACUCUAGGGAGACUGCCAGGGAUAACCUGGAGGAAGGCGGGGAUGACGUCAAAUCAUCAUGCCCCUUAUGACUUGGGCUACACACGUGCUACAAUGGCGUAAACAAAGGGAAGCGAAAAGGUGACUUCUAGCAAAUCCCAAAAAUAACGUCCCAGUUCGGACUGUAGUCUGCAACUCGACUACACGAAGCUGGAAUCGCUAGUAAUCGCGAAUCAGAAUGUCGCGGUGAAUACGUUCCCGGGUCUUGCACACACCGCCCGUCA